CCUUCCUGCAUAUUUCAUCAGAUGCACUUUCAUAUCUGCGAGCAUGAUUCAGAGGCAGUCUACUCAUGUACAGGGUCAUGGGAGUCUGUCCUCGGUGCUACUUUAUCAGAUUUUAACAGCUUUUUCCUGCUCUUCACCGAAGAUUGGGAAGUUCACACUCCAGCACGCCCCGCCACACGUGUUCAUCAUAAUAGUGCUACGUUUGCCAAACUGAUGGUUUAGUACUCAUCCUGAAAGUAGUGAAGAACAAUGAAGCAUAAAUCUAACUUCUGUGUUGCUUGGGUUAAGAUACCAGUUACGCUUCCUCAGACCUGCUUGUCAGAUGGUUGAAUAGCUUCUGAGUCCUCCUCCCCUCCAGAUUAGAGGAGAUCAUCCAGCUGCAUGCAGUGUUGUGCAGUGUGAAAAGGAGUCCUAGUGACCAGG